rnacentral:rRNA from 1 species
UACGUAGGGAGCAAGCGUUGUCCGGAAUCAUUGGGCGUAAAGCGCGCGUAGGCGGCCCGAUAAGUCCGCUGUAAAAGUCAACGGCUCAACUGUUGAAAGCCGGUGGAUACUGUCGGGCUAGAGUACGGAAGAGGCAAGUGGAAUUCCUGGUGUAGCGGUGGAAUGCGCAGAUAUCAGGAGGAACACCGAUGGCGAAGGGCAACCGUUCGUCCUGGCCGUGAACUGACGCUGAGAGCGAAAGCAUGGGAGCGAACAGGAU